rnacentral:tRNA from 1 species
GGGCGCCUAGCUCAGUUGGUAGAGCACCGCCCUUACAAGGCGGUGGUCGUCGGUUCGAGUCCGGCGGCGCCCA